rnacentral:rRNA from 1 species
GUAGGUGGCAAGCGUUGUCCGGAAUUAUUGGGCGUAAAGCGCGCGCAGGCGGUCCUUUAAGUCUGAUGUGAAAGCCCACGGCUCAACCGUGGAGGGUCAUUGGAAACUGGGGGACUUGAGUACAGAAGAGGAAAGCGGAAUUCCAAGUGUAGCGGUGAAAUGCGUAGAGAUUUGGAGGAACACCAGUGGCGAAGGCGGCUUUCUGGUCUGUAACUGACGCCGAGGCGCGAAAGCGUGGGGAGCAAACAGGAUUAGAUACCCUGGUAGUCCACGCCGUAAACGAUGAGUGCUAAGUGUUAGGGGGUUUCCCGCCCCCCUUAGUGCUGCAGCUAACGCAUUAAGCACUCCGCCUGGGGAGUACGGCCGCAAGGCUG